GAUGAACGCUAGCGGCAGGCUUAAUACAUGCAAGUCGUGGGGCAGCAGGUUUGUAGCAAUACAGAUGCUGGCGACCGGCAAACGGGUGCGGAACACGUACAGAACCUUCCUUUGAGCGGGGAAUAGCCCAGAGAAAUUUGGAUUAAUACCCCAUAGUAUAAUGAAGUGGCAUCACUUUAUUAUUAAAGAUUUAUCACUCGAAGAUGGCUGUGCGGCUGAUUAGGUAGUUGGCGGGGUAAAGGCCCACCAAGCCUGCGAUCAGUAACUGGUGUGAGAGCACGACCAGUCACACGGGCACUGAGACACGGGCCCGACUCCUACGGGAGGCAGCAGUAAGGAAUAUUGGUCAAUGGAGGCAACUCUGAACCAGCCAUGCCGCGUGGAGGAUGAAGGUCCUCUGGAUUGUAAACUUCUUUGACAGGGGACGAAACAAAUGACGGUACCCUGAAAACAAGCCACGGCUAACUACGUGCCAGCAGCCGCGGUAAA
rnacentral:rRNA from 1 species